AGCGAACGCUGGCGGCAGGCCUAACACAUGCAAGUCGAACGAACUCUUCGGAGUUAGUGGCGGACGGGUGAGUAACACGUGGGAACGUGCCUUUAGGUUCGGAAUAACUCAGGGAAACUUGAGCUAAUACCGAAUGUGCCCUUCGGGGGAAAGAUUUAUCGCCUUUAGAGCGGCCCGCGUCUGAUUAGCUUGUUGGUGAGGUAAUGGCUCACCAAGGCUACGAUCAGUAGCUGGUCUGAGAGGAUGACCAGCCACAUUGGGACUGAGACACGGCCCAAACUCCUACGGGAGGCAGCAGUGGGGAAUCUUGCGCAAUGGGCGAAAGCCUGACGCAGCCAUGCCGCGUGUAUGAUGAAGGUCUUAGGAUUGUAAAAUACUUUCACCGGUGAAGAUAAUGACUGUAGCCGGAGAAGAAGCCCCGGCUAACUUCGUGCCAGCCGCCGCCGUAAAAC
rnacentral:rRNA from 1 species